AACGAACGCUGGCGGCGGGCUUAACACAUGCAAGUCGAACGCGUGUAGCAAUACACGAGUGGCGCACGGGUGAGUAACGCGUGGAUAUCUGCCUUUUGGUUCGGAAUAACUCCGGGAAACUGGAGCUAAUACCGGAUGGUUCCUUCGGGAUAAAGAUUUAUCGCCAAAAGAUGAGUCCGCGUACGAUUAGCUAGUUGGUGAGGUAAUGGCUCACCAAGGCGACGAUCGUUAGCUGGUCUGAGAGGACGAUCAGCCACACUGGGACUGAGACACGGCCCAGACUCCUACGGGAGGCAGCAGUGGGGAAUAUUGGACAAUGGGGGCAACCCUGAUCCAGCCAUGCCGCGUGAGUGAUGAAGGCCUUCGGGUUGUAAAGCUCUUUUGGCGGGGACGAUGAUGACGGUACCCGCAGAAUAAGCCCCGGCUAACUUCGUGCCAGCCGCCGCCGUAAAAC
rnacentral:rRNA from 1 species